rnacentral:rRNA from 1 species
GACGAACGCUGGCGGCGUGCCUAAUACAUGCAAGUAGAACGCUGAAGAGAGGAGCUUGCUCUUCUUGGAAGAGUUGCGAACGGGUGAGUAACGCGUAGGUAACCUGCCUUGUAGCGGGGGAUAACUAUUGGAAACGAUAGCUAAUACCGCAUAACAAUGGGUGACCCAUGUCAUUCAUUUGAAAGGGGCAACUGCUCCACUACAAGAUGGACCUGCGUUGUAUUAGCUAGUAGGUGAGGUAACGGCUCACCUAGGCGACGAUACAUAGCCGACCUGAGAGGGUGAUCGGCCACACUGGGACUGAGACACGGCCCAGACUCCUACGGGAGGCAGCAGUAGGGAAUCUUCGGCAAUGGGGGCAACCCUGACCGAGCAACGCCGCGUGAGUGAAGAAGGUUUUCGGAUCGUAAAGCUCUGUUGUAAGUCAAGAACGAGUGUGAGAGUGGAAAGUUCACACUGUGACGGUAGCUUACCAGAAAGGGACGGCUAACUACGUGCCAGCAGCCGCGGUAAUACGUAGGUCCCGAGCGUUGUCCGGAUUUAUUGGGCGUAAAGCGAGCGCAGGCGGUUUGAUAAGUCUGAAGUUAAAGGCUGUGGCUCAACCAUAGUUCGCUUUGGAAACUGUCAAACUUGAGUGCAGAAGGGGAGAGUGGAAUUCCAUGUGUAGCGGUGAAAUGCGUAGAUAUAUGGAGGAACACCGGUGGCGAAAGCGGCUCUCUGGUCUGUAAACUGACGCUGAGGCUCGAAAGCGUGGGGGAGCGAACAGG